GUCACAUAGCCAGUGUGAGUUAGGAUUGGAACUCAGGUCUCGGACUGCCCGUCCUUUGCAGCCAUACCUAGCAGUCUGUGAUCCUUAUUAACAGCAUGAAAGUCAGCAUGAUGUGGAAAACGGCUGGCCGGGCACAGAAGGAGCUCUGGAACACACUAGAUGGGCAAUGGCUAGCGGAGAAAGGGCCUGGUCUGCCUUGGGAGAGGGGAUUUCCUCCGUCGGAGUUCCUGCCCAUCCCAAGGGAGCCUCGGGUCUAGCCGCUCUCUCCCUCCUUAAAACGGACAGGGUUUGUUUGAAUAAAAGGGCCCUCUGCUUCUUCCCCGUGAGUGUGUAAGAUGGUGCUUGGCUCAGCGGAGACCGAACGAGUCCUGUGAUCCGAUUUCCAAGAACGCUCACCCUUGCUUCAACUGGAAAAUAACAUUUCCCACUCCCAAACAUAACUGGAGCUUUGUUUGAUGGACUUCAGAAAACAGCCCUCCGCCCAGCUACUGAAAAGAGAAGCUUUAGGAUGCCCCCGGGCAAUGACAAACGCUACAGUUGGUUGUGCAAUUUGCAGGGAAAUCGUAUCGCACUGACGAGUUAUCCAGGCUUUUAAUUUUUUUUUGGGGGGGGGGGGGCGGCAGUGUAUGUUUGCUCUUUUUUAACAACUAUCCCCACAGGCGGCAACCAGUCACAUGCGCCAGUCAUGCGGGGAGGCGCGGCCACUCAGCAAUCAUUAACUAAAUGCUUUCCCCAAGUGCAGAAAAAGGGAUUUUUUUUUCUUUUUUUUUUUUUUUAAAGUCCGCAUUUAUAACAAAAUCGGUAGUCUGACUCCGGGGGAACCGAGAAGAGGCUUUUUUCUCCCCUUCCUCUCCCAGGGCAAAAAGAGCCAUGUGUUGGAAACUCUAGUGGUAAGGCUUCCUCACCCGCCCUACACCUGGAGCGUUAAGGACAAACGCGGGCGCGCGGGAAGCAGCCCCCGCCCCGCCCCUGACAAGGUCCCUACCUCCGGGCUCGCCUGCCCCUCGCGGAGGGAGAGGGCACCCCCAUCCCACCGAGUGGGAAAAUGCUCGGAAAGCAGGGAGGUGAUUAGAGUGUUGUGACUUUAAUUAAAGCUGCGUGGCCCUUCCCUUUGGGCGUGGAAUUAACCCGGGGUUGGCAGCCCGAUGGGGUACACUGGAGGUGGUGGACCCCUGGCUCCUCCUGGUCACCCAGAGAUGAAAAAUAAAACCAAGAGUUGAAGCCCUUUUCCUGUUAUCUUGCUGCACAAGAAAAAUCAGAUCAAGAAGGAAAAAAAAAACUGAGAAAACAAAAUACAAGCAAACAACAACAAGAAGAAUGAGAAUGUUAUAUUGUGAUCCACACUCAGCUCCCACAGGCCUCUCUCUGGGUGUAGAUGGUUCUCCUCAUCACUGAACAAGUGGAACUGGUUUGAAUCAUCUCAUUGUUGAAGAGAGCCACGUCCAUCAGAAUUGAUCAUUGUAAAGUAUUGUUGUUGAAGUAUAUAA